rnacentral:lncRNA from 1 species
GUCACUUUUGUCAUCCAGGCUGGAGUGCAGUGGCGGGAUGAGAGUUCACUAUGAUCUCGACUUCCUGGACUCAGAUGGUUCUCCCACUUCAGCUUCCGGAUCUAAUAUUUCAAUAAUUUCAAGAACACUGCAUUCAUUCCUCUCCACAUGAGCAAUUGCCAAAACAGACUCACCUGGCACUAAGGACUGCUCUGGUGGUCUUCGGAGGCUCCUGGGAUCGACUGCUUGGACAGAGGUGACAUCACCCAAUUAGUGAGAGCCAAGACCUAAGGCUGCAGCUGCCUUCCAGGUAUCUGCCACUCACUGUAGAACGAUCCCACAGUUCUGCAUUUCUGCCCUAUGCCCGCCAGUCACAAGAAGCUCCGGUCUCUUAUCCCAUGUCUGAUUCCUGAAA